rnacentral:misc_RNA from 1 species
AAGUCGUAACAAGGUUUCCGUAGGUGAACCUGCGGAAGGAUCAUUACCGAAUUGUCGACACGAGUUGUUGCUGGCCCCUUGAAUGGGGGGCAUGUGCACGCUCUGUUUGCAUCCACUCACACCUGUGCACCUUCUGUAGUUCUAUGGUCUGGGAGACACCUGUCUUCCCUCCCGUGGUUCUACGUCUUUACACACACACUGUAAUGUAGUCUUAUGGAAUGCACGCAGCGUUUAACGCAAUACAAUACAACUUUCAGCAACGGAUCUCUUGGCUCUC